rnacentral:lncRNA from 1 species
AGAGAGAGAGAGAGAGAGGGGAGCAUGCGCGGUGGAGAGGUGUUGUCCGGCAGAUGUUGUCGGAUCUGACGAAGGGUUUUGAAACUCGAGUUAGAGGAUGCCAUGUGAACUCUCUGCCUUCAAACGAGGACAGUACUCCUCGGCAUUCUUUCAGAUCUCUUUCUCGAGCCGAUCACGUCGUCGGAAUCAAUCGCAGCGCCAUUUCCGGCCUUGAGAACGAAGACCCGUGACCGGCUUUGGAUCUUCCAUCCAUCUGGUUAUGUAGUUCCUGCAGAUGCUUGCGGGUUUAAGAGCUUGUUUUAGUGUGCCGAGGAAUAAAUCUAUGGAUUCAAAUGGGGAUUGGUCAAACUAGAUCUGAAACACUUGCACUCUUUUACUCCGUUGUUCCCUCUGCUGCCUCACCUCUCUGUGUCGCUUCAAUGAUUACUAUAUGUCCUGAAACAUCAUCCCCAUGUGUUGAAUCCUCCUCGGUCCU